rnacentral:rRNA from 1 species
GAUGAACGCUAGCUACAGGCUUAACACAUGCAAGUCGAGGGGAAACGACAUCGAAAGCUUGCUUUUGGUGGGCGUCGACCGGCGCACGGGUGAGUAACGCGUAUCCAACCUGCCCAUCACUUGGGAAUAACCUUGCGAAAGUAAGACUAAUACCCAAUGAUAUCCCACGAAGGCAUCCGAAUGGGAUUAAAGAUUUAUCGGUGAUGGAUGGGGAUGCGUCUGAUUAGCUUGUUGGCGGGGUAACGGCCCACCAAGGCAACGAUCAGUAGGGGUUCUGAGAGGAAGGUCCCCCACAUUGGAACUGAGACACGGUCCAAACUCCUACGGGAGGCAGCAGUGAGGAAUAUUGGUCAAUGGGCGAGAGCCUGAACCAGCCAAGUAGCGUGCAGGACGACGGCCCUAUGGGUUGUAAACUGCUUUUANAUGGGGAUAAAGUGAGUUACGUGAGACUUUUUGCAUGUACCUUAUGAAUAAGGACCGGCUAAUUCCGUG